CGAGGAAAAAAAAAGGUUAGAGCGAAAGGAGCGGCGACGACGUACUCAUGAAUAGGCGCAGAAACACGGAAGAGUAACUCUGUUGAUGACACUCGACUCAUGUCAACGACGCGGCUGAAGAGAGGAAGAGGACAAUGGACGAGAUCAUUUGCGGAAGGAUUGAAGUAGAAGACUGUUUCGUGUCGUGAAAGGAAUUGUGAUUGCGAUGAAACGGAACGCCGUUAAACGAGAGCCAGAGGUCAAAACGUGAGGUUAAACGUGCGGCGGGAAACCUGAUAAGAGUCGCUGCGGAGGAGGAUAACCUGGUAAGGAAGAAAGGAGAGAAAGGGCGAAGUAAACCGUACCGAGAGAGGAGAUCGGGAACAUCGUGGUGAAUAUCGAGUGUCGAUCGUACUGGGAAUGUACGGCUAGGAGUAUCAAAUCGUUAUAUCGAUGCCGCGACGAGAGCCAUCACGAGAAGAGUACUCCGUGAGAAAACGUUAUUGGGUCAACGUCGUAUACCAAGAGGUCGGAGACACGUUUACAACGAGUCGCGAAACGUUAUCGGAAUAAAUCGGAAGGGAAAACAAAGAGAAGAUGUUAGACUAAUCUGGAAAGGAAGGAAGAUCCCUCUUGUCUUUCAUGGAAACGGAACAAGGAGCAAGCGUUCUCAUCCUUGUGAAAUUGUCUCGGAUAUAUAUUCAAGAGUUUAUGAGAAAUCAUAGAAGAAGAAAUAUAUAUUUAUCAUUCGUCGCGUUAAAAUAAGACGCGAAAAUAUUACAAUGAGGGAUGUUAAACCGGCGAUUCAGCGGCGCGUGCCAGACACAAGCCGAGGGAGAGAAUAAUAAAACGUAAAUCGCCCAGGGUAUUCCCGUUAUUCUAAACAAAACGUGUUAAGCGCAUUAAAGGCGAAGGUAAUAUUGCGGUAAACAGAGAGAACGCCUCGACGAACCGCGCUAUAAAUUAUUAAGAGAGGCGAGAUAUCACGAGCGGAGAGAAAGCCAGAGAAAUAUCGAGGAUAUCGUAUUGAUAAGAUGCAUCAUGAAUCGGUGGAGAGAGAGAGAGAGGCCGCUCGGGCGGAAAUUUGCUUUACUAAUCUAGGAGGCGGGAUAUCAUCCAUCGCGAACGUCUACCGAUGUUUAGAUCACGGUUUAGAUUCCGACGCGGUCGUUUGAAUCCGCAUUACGCCUGAUUUACAUACGCAAAACUCGCUCGUUCAGCUUGAAAAUUGGAGCGAUCGGCCGGAAGUGUAUCGUCGUAAAUACGAACAGCUGAACCGGAUAAGAAACGCGAGAGCGGCCAUCGCGGGCGAAAAAAGCCCGACGUGCAAUUGCAAUGAAGCGCAGCGCGCCAAGAGAGACAGGAUUGGAUUCGUUUCGUUUUGUUAUAGGAGGAAAUAAUGAGAAUAUACUUAAGGAACACGAGUGUGACCUGUUGCAAGUUCAACCGGUAUCAGUCUUGUGAAACGACAGAGACGCAACAAUUGUCAUGAUCACUAAUAUAUACACUAUCGAGCGAACUAUUUCA